rnacentral:rRNA from 1 species
AGCGCAGGCGGGCGAUCAAGUUGGAAGUGAAAAUCCAUGGGCUCAACCCAUGAACUGCUUUCAAAACUGGUCGUCUUGAGUAGUGCAGAGGUAGGCGGAAUUCCCGGUGUAGCGGUGGAAUGCGUAGAUAUCGGGAGGAACACCAGUGGCGAAGGCGGCCUACUGGGCACCAACUGACGCUGAGGCUCGAAAGUGUGGUAGCAAACA